GGCAAAUGUUUUCUUCCUCUUUUAUAUUUCAAUCUCUCUCAGUUCGACCAUGUUCUCACUUUCACUAUACUCUUGGCCUUUAUUCUUCUCCAGUGACUGAAAAGAGUAGCAGAUAUGGCCGGAAAUCUGCCAGGUAAGGUGCUUGUGUACCUGAAGAGCACAAUGGGAAAGGUGAACCGUGUCUUUUAGGGGAGUCAGGAAGAAACAAGAACUCCGUCACAUUUAUCAGCAAUAUUAUCAAGUUUUCUCUUUUGAGAUAACCUCUCUAGCCAUUGAAUUUAGUUUUGGUAAAAUAAUAGCAGAAAUUCUAAAUUAUUAAUUUUUAAAGAUCAGGACAUAUUUUGGUACAG